rnacentral:lncRNA from 11 species
UUUGACUGUGGUUUGAAUCACCAUGGUUUGUACUGUUCUGUGCUUGUUCUUUUUUUCUAACAGGGUUGGCAAAGGGUGAACGCCCUCCUCAAAAAAUCCAGAAGAUCACCAUGGACAAUUGCCUUCCUGCAGUUCCAUGCCACCAGGGACUGUUUCCAGAGCUAACCCCGAGACCUGUAGAUGAGUUGCCUCCUCCCCCGAAAAUAGAUAAAUACAAGCUGGC